rnacentral:rRNA from 2 species
GUCGAGCGAUGAAACUUUAACAGAACCCUUCGGGGCGAAGAUAGAGCGGAUUAGCGGCGGACGGGUGAGUAACACGUGAGUAACCUGCCUUAGACAUUGGGAUAGCCUCGGGAAACCGGGAUUAAUACCAAAUAAAAUCAUAAUGACACAUGUCAUAACGAUCAAAACUCCGGUGGUCUAAGAUGGACUCGCGUCCCAUUAGCUAGUUGGUAGAGUAAAAGCCUACCAAGGCGACGAUGGGUAGCCGGCCUGAGAGGGUGAACGGCCACAUUGGAACUGAGAAACGGUCCAAACUCCUACGGGAGGCAGCAGUGGGGAAUAUUGCACAAUGGAGGGAACUCUGAUGCAGCGACGCCGCGUGAACGAAGAAGGCUUUCGAGUCGUAAAGUUCUUUUAUAUGGGAAGAUAAUGACGGUACCAUAAGAAAAAGCCCCGGCUAACUACGUGCCAGCAGCCGCGGUAAUACGUAGGGGGCUAGCGUUGUCCGGAAUCACUGGGCGUAAAGGGUUCGCAGGCGGAAAUGCAAGUCAGAUGUAAAAGGCAGUAGCUUAACUACUGUAAGCAUUUGAAACUGCAUAUCUUGAGAAGAGUAGAGGUAAGUGGAAUUUUUAGUGUAGCGGUGAAAUGCGUAGAUAUUAAAAAGAAUACCGGUGGCGAAGGCGACUUACUGGGCUCAUUCUGACGCUGAGGAACGAAAGCGU